GAUCCGCUCGACUUGGCCCUUCUGUGAGGAACGUUCUAGAACCGUGUGGGGUCUGUGGGGAACCCUCUAGAACCGCAGUGGGUCUGCAGGGAGCCUUCUAGAACCACGUGGGGCCACGAUGAGGAUUUUUAGUCAAAACACUGUGAAGAGAUGCUGCACAUAUGAACAAGCUGAAGAACAUUUGUUAAGAAGUUAGCAAGACAAUAAGGAGGCUCUGGAGCAUCCUGCGGAUGCCGGGCACCACCUGAGCCAAAUGGAGCUCCCAGGGCAGUCCAAUACUUGCCAUCUGCAACUUAACACUGAAGUCCUGUAAAGUUUCAGAUGUGCCUAGUCAUGGUUAUGAGCACCUGAAGAAACCAUUAAUACUUCUAAAUGUUAUACUUUAAAAAGACCUAAGAAAUCCCAAGCCAAUUCUGUUAUUGAUAUUGCCAGACAUAAACAAGACAGAAAGAACCUCUCCUCCCUAUACAUGCAUAUAUAUAUAAUGUUCUAUGCCAAUCACCAGAAUAGAAGUUGGUCUUUAAAACUCUAGCGCUCCUGCUCUGACAGGUAGGAGAAUAAAUCAGUAAUUCUCUUGCCACUGCUAAUCAGGUCAUUGCUCACAAUUACAAAUUCUAAUUUCUUAGCACCCGGUGAGAGAAAGUUGCCU